GAGGGUAUAGCUCAAGUGGUAGAGCAUAUGCUUAGCAUGCACAAGGUCCUGGGUUCAAUCCCCAGUAACUCCU
rnacentral:tRNA from 1 species